rnacentral:sRNA from 1 species
GGCGGCAGUCAUCAUAUUUAGAAGCACCAGCCGCCCCAAUAUCUGAAGUGGGUUUCUUUUUUUUAUUGCUAAUGGGGAGCAGCACUCAGAGGGUCUCUUUCUUUCAACCUGCACCGUCCAAGAGCAACAAGGGAGCUGAGGCAUGGCUUUAAAACUGCAGAGAAGAGAAAAUAGAGUUUUAGGCUACAAAAUCUGAAAGGAGAGGUUGAGAGCUCUAGUUUUGCAAGGAGACCGUGGGAGGGAUAUUCAAAGCUUUUGCUAAGGAAGUCUUCAAGAGACGUUGUCGAAGAGAUUCCCUUGGAGCAAGAGCUGGAGAUUGCUGAUGUUGCGGAGUAGUCUUCUUAGAAUUUCCUGAUUGAACACUUGUAGUGUUUAAUCCUUUCAACUGUUUAAGUUUGAAUUUCCGUUUUCUUUUAUUUCUGG